rnacentral:rRNA from 1 species
AUGGGCGACCACUACGGUACGCUCGGGGUGCGGCCCGACGCUACCAAGGCCGAGGUCAAGGCCGCCUUCCGCCGCCGCGCCCUGCGCGACCACCCCGACCGCCACGCUCAAUCCGGCGACGCCGGUGCCCGAGCCGAAGCCGCGCGGCGCUUCCGCCAGGCCUCUGACGCCUACCACGUCCUCUCCGACGACCGAAGGAGGGCCGAGUACGACCUCCGUCUCCGCUCUUCCUCCUAUGUCCGCACAUCCUCCUCCACCUGGGCCUCCUCCUCGGGUUCGCACGGCUACGGCUACGGGCACAGAGAAAGUUCUUGGCGGCGGCCGCCUCCGGGAGGCGGAGGCGCAUCGGUGGGAUACGAUUGGGGCUUGUUGCUGAAGGCGAUGACGCGGCGAAGGUUCCUUCUCAAUCUCGGCUUCUCCAGUGUAUUGCUUUCUGGUGCAGCUUUUCUUGAUGGAAGUAUUCUGGAACUCUGGAACAUGAAUAACUCUGGGAAAUCAUUUGAAGAAGCAAUGGAGUCGAUUGAGAAGGUAAAAGGGGGAAAGGGGAAUAGGUAG